CUGAAGAUUAAUAAAUCACAACCAUCAUACACAUACAACUUUUGCCUGUGUUUCAGCAUCUCUAUAAAGCACAAAACUACCCUGGGACAGAAGCAGGCUGCUUUCCCCGUCAAACACCCCUUUUCUGUUUUCCAUUCUGGAAGCAAAAAAAAAGAUAGUUUCUUCCCUUUUCCCCUUAUCACACAGUACAAGCCCAGUCACCACCAUCCGCAUAGACCUCACAGGAAAUGAUAUACAUUCCUCAAAUUCCUCCCAGGAUGAAUGGUUAAUCACAGAGUCUGACCUACAGUAUGUAAACAUGGGGCAUGUGGAGCAACAGAAGAGAUUGGGAGCCAUCCGCUGUUCCUGCCAGCAUUGAAGGGAUUUGAGGGACCAAAGAAACAAGCAUGAGGAUGCAAACAACAUUGGCUUGGACACUGAGGUAAUCUAGUGGGGUGCAUCCUUUACCAAGCCUAGAACAACCCUUGAACAUCUCAAUGGACUGUCUUCAAGAAUUGCUGAAGAUUCCUCAAGUCCAGUGGCAAGACAAAAGUCAAGACAACUGGUGAUGGCCUAGGAUGCAGUGAAUGACCUUGGCUUCUUUGAUAUCUGAUCAAGCUCUAGGAGCUCUACAGUAGCCCCUUCUUCUGCCUUCACAACCAUUGGAACACACCAGUGGAAGCCUUCUCAUGCUAGGGAUAGACAUCCCUCCAACACUGGUAGAUUUGAAGUCUGUAGGUUAUACUCAGCUUGGGUUAGCCCCUAACAAGACAGUUUUACCAGAGUAUGACCACUGGGCAUGCCACAGCUUCUUGGAGCCACUGGUGAGAGCUAAGUGGCAGGUGGACACCAAAGGAGGAAGGCAACCCUGAAAAGGGCUUGACAAGGCCUCAUCCCAGAGGUACUAGUCUUCCCUAUGUAACCUAAAUUUCCUGAAUAGUUUCUACUACUGAUCCUGCUAACAUCCUUACUGGAUUUAUUUAGGGGGUAGUAUGUUCAUUAUGCUCUGAGUAUGUCCUGCAAAUCCCUCAUUGUACCUGGGUUCAUGUUAUUUCCUGUACUUGGAAUACAUUUCUCUCAUGUGAGCCCACAAUAUCAAACAACAAAAUAGUAAAAUUCUUGCUUCAAAAUACACACAUUAAAAAUAUCCAAAUAUUUUGCAUUGUAUAAGAAUAAGAAUUACUGGCACUUAUAUAGGACUUUAAAGUUUAUAAUGCAUUUUACAUAUGUCAUCUCAUUUGAUCUUCAUGGCAAUCCUGUAAAUAGAUUAUAUCAUUAUCCUUAUUUUUCGAUGAGGACAUCAAGAGACAGAGAAGCAAAAUGAUUUGCAAUGCUAGUGAGGGAUCUGAGGUAUGAUUUGAGCUCAGUUCUUCCUGUCUCCAACUUUAGCAUCCUAUCUACUAUGUCACAUUGUUGUCUGAGUAUAAAAUAAAAAAAAAAAUAAAUAAAAAUGAAAACAAAAACCACUCAGAUAUUAGACUCCAUUUCCCUCAUUUUCCCCAGAUCUAUUUCAUACAGAUACAGUUUGAAUAUACAAUAGAAACCCACCUUUUUUCAUAAAGUCGUCCAUGGCAAUUUUCAACCAAAAGUUGUCUCUUUCCUUAGAAAACCCUCUAGUACUUAUUACCCUUAUCUUCUGGCUCUUUCUCUGACUACCAUUGUAAGCUCAGUGGAUCCUAUUGGAUAAGUAUAAAAUAAAAUAGUUAUGAGAAUUGCAUUUAAACCUUGGCUCUGCUGUUUAUUACUUAUAUAACUUAGAGAAAUCACUAUUCUAUGGACCUUGUUUUCCUAAUGUCAUUGGUCUUUUCAAAAUGAAAGAUGAAGAGUAUUUGUAUCUUCAGUAUUCGGCACAAUGCCUGGCACAUGGUAAGCAUUAAAUAAAUGCUUGUUAACUUGAUCAAA